CCUCCCCCCCCCCCACCAACGGUUAACCUAACCACAGCCUCCAAUUCCUCAGGGGAGGCUGGCUAGACUAGAGGCAGCCCGACUUGCCUCACCUGAAAUUCGCCUAAGGUUUGUGGCAGUGGAGUCCCAUCGAAUACUGCAAAGUGGUGCAAAGAAGGUUCUCCCCAGACGAACCUUUGCAGAAAUGCCCUGAAGCGCUGAGAUGAGAGCCAAGCGCUUGCCAAUGCCACCCAUGGUAAAAUGCCAGAGGGAGUUUUAGAAUCACCAGACUCUGCAGGUCACAGAACCAAGAAUGGAUCGGAAGAGAGAGGGAGGCGGUGGAGCUGCCAGGGACCCUGGAGUGGGCUGAGAGCCACAGCAGCUACUUUAGAGAAAGAAGCAGACAAUGACCUGCAAAACGAGGAGAAACGAUGGUUGUUGUCACAGGAGGGCAGAGUUCAAAUGAAAAAGCCACUCCUGGGGGUGUUCAGCUAGAAUCUGAAUAAGCAUAAGAAGCCAGCUCCUGAAGUAAAUACCCACGCUGUACAAGCCAGGGUGACCCCGAAGCUUGCUUUCCUUCAUGGUUGUAUAGUUUGUGGGAAAGAUGAACAGAGCACCACACUACACCCCACCUCAAAGGGGCUCAAAACCUGUGCUUUUACAUAGGGGUCUUUGUUUCUCUUUUUAUGAGUCUGUCUCUGAAAUGCUGGAUCCACUUGUUCAACUACUUGAACACAAACUUUUUCUAAAAUGUCUCUAAUUGACAGGAGCAAGCAUUUUGAAAGCUGAGCCAGCUGCCAUUAAAUUCAGCACACAACUUUUA